ACACAAUAAGUACUCCGCCUGGGAAGUACGAUCGCAAGAUUAAAACUCAAAGGAAUUGACGGGGGCCCGCACAAGCAGCGGAGCAUGUGGUUUAACUCGAAGCAACGCGAAGAACCUUACCUGGACUUGACAUCCCCUGCAUAGCCAAGAGAUUGGCGAAGCCCUUCGGGGCAGGGAGACAGGUGGUGCAUGGUUGUCGUCAGCUCGUGUCGUGAGAUGUUAGGUUAAGUCCUGCAACGAGCGCAACCCUUAUCAUUAGUUGCUACCAUUAAGUUGAGCACUCUAGUGAGACUGCCCGGGUUAACCGGGAGGAAGGUGGGGAUGACGUCAAAUCAUCAUGCCCCUUAUGUCCAGGGCUACACACGUGCUACAAUGGUGAGUACAACAAGAUGCAAUCCCGCGAGGGGGAGCCAAACUUAUAAAACUCAUCUCA
rnacentral:rRNA from 1 species